rnacentral:lncRNA from 1 species
GGGGGAGGGGGACGGGGACGGGGACGGGGACGGGGGCGGGGGCGGGCCUCCGCGCUAAGGACCAGGUCUCAAAAUGGCCACACGCAUCCCCCCGUAGCGGCAAAACACUGCCCAGGACCACACCGUGGCCUAACUGCUGGUCUCUCAGCGAGAAAGGGGGGAAAGCAAAGACCCCUGUCCACAACUUGGACCUUGGCUCCCGCCCCUCUCCGGCGGAGUGGAGAUCCUAUUCAGAGGGGCCGGUUUCUCUAAAUAUGCCCCAGGAGAAAUUUUCCCUGCCGGGAAUUGGGAGCUGCUUGAGACCCUGUGCCUGCCCCGCAGGAGCUCCUGGGAUCCCUGUCUUGCUCAGACACAAACGGAAAUGUUGCGGCCAUCUGGCGACAGGAGAUGAGGAUCCGGUGUUGGGGGCUUCGAGCUGGUUCCGGGCCGCACAAAGACAGAGGAGUUAUAAUGGUCAAAUAGUCUAGUGUGAUUCUGUUCAAAAGCUUCUCCCCACUCUUUCAUCUUCCCCGAAUAAAAACAAAUGAACGAACGAUAAUCA